rnacentral:lncRNA from 1 species
CAAUUACAUUUUAAAAUAUUUUAGAUUAUUACUAAAACAAAAAUUAAGUAUCGAUAAUAGUAUCAGUGAUUUUGCUGAAAUCAAAGAAGUGGAAAUAGGUUUUAUAGAAUUAUUACAUUAUUCUUUAUUACCCUCAUCCUAAAAUUCUGGCCCAAACUCAGAACAUCCAGGUUUACAUUUUAAAACUCAACGUAUCAACAUACGGUUUCUGAACCUCCAUUUUUACUCUUGCCCAGACCUUGCAAUGAUUAGGGGAGGACCUUGUCCUGAGUUUUAUGUGGCCUCCUCAUGGGUGGAUCCAGGGAUUAAAUGACAUUGUCAAGGUAGGAUGGCUGCUGACAGUCCAUUCAUAUACCAGCCUAGUAGAUAAUGGAUCGCAACUGCUGUUAGAUCUUUCUCUGCUACUAAUCCUGCUUGAACCACUUGCUCAUCCCCCAGGCAAAUCAUGGUACUCUGGGGAUGUGGUGCCAUGACCAGACCAGCAGCAUCUUAUCUGCUCCCCUGUACCGGGAAGCUGAGGGUACAUGAAGUGGAGAAGGUGACUGCCUAAAGAUGAUGGUUGUUAAAAUUAAGUCCACCACAUUGGAACCUAAGGUAGGUACUUAUUUUGCAAAUUAAUUUUCUAUUUCCCUCUUAUCAAACUCUUAUUAAUUCUAAUAGUAUUCUGUUGGUUUUUGUUGGCUUCUAGGUAGAGGAUGCUUCAAAUGCAAAUAAAUGAUAAUCUGUCUCCUGCGUUAUAAAAUUUUUAUUAGUAGUAUUUUCCUUUUUUUUCUUCCUUUCUUUUUUGGCCACCCUGCCGCAUAUGGAGUUCCAUGCUAGGGAUCAUAUCCGAACAGCAGUUGAGAUCGAAGCUACAGCUGCAGCAGUGCUGGAUCCUUAACCCACUGCACUGGCUGGGGAUCAAACCUCAAAUAUCCUUAUCUUGUCCCUAGCUUGAACUGGAUCUGCCUUUAGCAUUUCAGCAUUAAAUAUCAUGUUGAUACUGUUUUAACAAAGAUAUCCUUUGCUCUUUCCAGAAUUAUAUGCCUAGUUCUCCCUACCAAUUUUGGGAAAUCCAGAGUUUGUACCAAUGUGGGCACUGCUACUGUAUACGAAUGAUUAAACAACCAAAAAAACCUCCCAAUUGGAUAAACAAACUGCUCUAAACUCAGUCACUGCCAAUCAUGUAAAUUUGAAUGACUGAAUCCCUACUCUAUUCUUCCAAGCCUGAAACAAUCCAAAAGAAAGGCUGUCUAGACACCAAAUGGUGGUCAUAAAUUUCAUCUUCUCUUUUUCUGUUUCCUUUGUUAUUUUUAGUAGAAGUCUAUAAUAAGCACAUAAAUAAGCAUUUGGGAUUUUGUGAGAGACAGCUCAGAUUUUAAGAUUUAUGGCCUUUAUAUUAAGCACUUUGUACAUGUUUAUUUCACAACAAAAAUUUAACAUAAAAUGCCCUUACUAAUGAAGUGAAAAUUUGUUACUACUAGUCAGGAAAAUCAGUGGCAAAAAAAUGGUUUUGUGAUCAUGGCCACAUAAGAGUAAGUGAACUCUGACAAAGUAGGAUGGUAUCUACUUCACUCACCAUUAUAUAUCAUAUAUAUUACUAUGGGCUGGCACAUACUAAGUGCUCAGUAAAUAUCUGAUGAAUUAAAUUGAUUCAAAGAUAUAGAGAACAAUGUCCUGAAGUUGGGUCAUUGCACAAUGGACAUGACAGAAUUCAGGUUCUAUAUAAUUUUAAGAGGAUAUUAAUAGGUAUUUGUGGCCUGGCAGGAAGUAAUGCUUACAGUGCUAGGAAUUUUCUCUGAUUCAAUUCCACUACUAUUUUAAGUAGUAGGCACUAUCAUCAGCUACAUUCAGAAUGCCCAGGUGUUCAGAGAGGUUAAGGAACUUGUACAAACCAUGCUUCAAAUCCAUGCCUUUCCUCCACUCUAGCAUGCUACCUGCUAUAACACAUAAUGUGUGGUUUGUAUUUAUCCCUGACCAGCCAGUCUAAAGGGCUCUGCCUCAUUUACUCUUUCAUCACCCUACCUAUUUCCUUCUAGUAGGUAACAAUAUUUAUGAUGGUCUUGUUUAUUUUUUCCCUUGUCAAUUAUCUGACUCUUGAGAGACGUAUAUUAUCUAACUUGUUCACAGCCACAUCGUGGUGCCUACAACAUAGUAAGUGCUCGAUACUUAUUGAGUGCAUUGAACGAAUGAGUGAAUGAGUUCAUGAGGUGACCUACCAUAAUAUUAGAAGUACCAUAAUACUAGAAGAAGAUUAACUUAGGUAAAGAGAACUACACAGGGUCACCAAACUAUGAAGAGAACUGGCAGCCCAGAAUUUUAAAUUUCAUGUUUAGUUUAUUCUAGUCUCAUACUCCUUGAUUAAAAACCUCCUCUUACUGUUUCAUUAUGGUGCUAUUGUUAUAUGAGGUACUUGAUGAUCAACACUAUAUUCUCUUCCAAAUUCUUUGCACUAAAUGCUUUUUAUUUUUUCUAGAAUUACAAGCACACAAGGAGUAAAAAGCUAUCACGCAGUCCAUUAUCCAGCAUCCAAGCAAAGCCUGGCCCAGAAAACAGAAAAAAAAUUUCAGAUUCAAGUGCAAGUAUUAUUUACACCAGUUCAACUGUGUUAGGAGCCCAGAACUAAGUUGCGAGUUUGGGCUACAGCUUUGCUUUACUCUAUAGUAGCUACAGAGGGUAGCCAACCAAUUAUCUUGAUAUGCAUUUUUGUCCUUAUAAACACUAUAUAAAAUAAAUCAGGUGAAUUAGAAAAAAAUCUCCAUCACUACUGAAUAAACAACUCAAGGAACACACUCCACUCAAGAAUAUAGCGAUCAUUUUAAGAGGUGUUUAUUGGCAGUUUUAAAUGGCCUAAUAAACUUUAUGUUAUGAUAAAAAAAAUCAGUGUAAAAAUUGUAUUUAUACUUCAAUAGAGAAGUGUUAAAUAAAACACUAGUAGGUCUAUGUGACGGAAUUGUAUGUGGCCAACGAAAAUCAUGUUUUAGAAGAUUUAAAGAAGGGAGAAAUGCUUUCAGUUCAUCUUCAUACCAGCCACGGUCCUGCCAGGAAGUAGAUGACAUGCUCAAGCAGGGUGCCUGACAAGACUGACUGCUGAAGAUGAUCUCAUGGCAGGACAAAUGGCCUCCAGGAGAAAAAUGAUGCCACUUCCAACCACAGCCAGGCAAGGAGGGAUCUCCUCUAUCUCCCUCCUGGGUGGAAGGCUGGGUGAGAGAGCCCACUGGUGGAGUCUACAGAGGUCAGCUUCCCAGAAUAGAGCUGGGUGGAGAAGGAUGGAGUGUGGGGCUGGAGGAGCAAAUAGAGAAUACCCAGCAUGGUAUGUAUGCCAAAAAAAAAAUCCGAUUGCAACACAGUAUUACAGUAGAAUUCCAAAUUUGUAAUUGUAUAUAUGGGUCAGAUUCCCUGUCAACAGUCUAAGCUGUGCAUGCAGGAAGUUUGCUGUCCAGUGCUCUUGGGAAUGGUGGUUGUGAGUGGGGAGGGAAGAAGGACUGGCAGAGCAGGAGGAUGAACCAUAAAGCAAUUACAACAGAGGCCAUGGCCAUUCCUAGAUAGAACUCUGGAACUAGGAUGGCCCUCCAGAGUCGUCCCAAUUGAGGCAAGAAGGCUGGGCUUCUGGUAGUCCCUCAACAACCAGUUAUUGAACACAGACUGCCCUGUGAGGUCAAGGGCAAUGCCUGAAUAGGGCCAUUAGCAGCUAACACUGCCAGCACCAAGAGAGUGUGUCAUCCUGAAAAGGGAAGGGGAGGGAAGCCACAAUGACUGCUAAGAUAGCACUUCACCAUGGUUGACUGGGUCAUAGAGUUAUUGUUAUUCUCCUGCUUUGUUUUUAAUACUUGUACAUUGUUCCAAAUGCUCUUUAAUAUAGGAGACAAUUGGCAAUCUUUAUCACAAUAUGUAUUAGUUUGAUCAUCAGUAAAUUUAUAGUAAAAAAUGGAAAAUAGUUGUUAUUGCUUGGUAAUCAGCAUACUGCAUACUCCUACAAGACUUAGAACAAACUUUUUUCCCCUGUAAUUCUAAGUCCCACUGCGAUGCAGAUAUAUAUGUGAGAAGGUUGGUACCCUUGGCUACACAUUCCAAAGAAUGACUAAGGGCUGAAGCCAGAGGUUCCCGUCAUGAUGUCUGGUAGUACUUCAGUAUAAUCAAUGUGAGAUUAAGUAGAUACCAGUUAGUUUAACUUUUAAUGCUAGGGUGGUUAGGUAAACUUGCUGUUAGGAUUCAUAACAGAGUGGUGAGCUGGCAUUACAUAAAAAAAAAACCAAGAUUCCAGAGCAUCUUCUACAAAUCUUUCAGAUCAACAAAUGACACUUUGCAAACUAUUAAUUUUUUUUUUUUUUUGGCCAAGCCCAUGGUAUUCAGAAGUUUCCAGGUAAGGAAUCAAACCCUUGCCAUAGCAGUGACCAAGCCACAGCAGUGACAGGGCUGGAUCAGUAACUGCAGAGCUACCAGGGUACUCCUUGCUAUUUUAUUAAAAAUUGGAUUUUGUUGGUCCAUCAGUGACUUAUUAAUCAAAACAAUAUGUUCAAAAUACAUUGGAGUUCUCUUGUGGCACAGGGUUUAAGAAUUUGGCAUUGUCACUGCAGCAGCUAAGGUCGCUGCUGUGACAUGGUUCAAUCCCAGGCUCAGGAACUUCCAUGUGCUGUGGACACAGCUAAAAAAGGGGGAAAAACUAUUACUGGUGAAAUUAAAAAUAGUCAAAAUAUAACUGUAAUGUAUACAUGUAAGGAUAACCUGACCGCCUUGCUGUACAGUGGGAAAAUAAAAAAAAUUAUUGAAAAAAAAAUAGUCAAAAUAUGUAGAUUGGGUUAAAUGAUUUAGAAACACCCCUCAAUCCCUGAAAAAACAUAAGAAUCCAGCAAACUAUGACAUGUAGUAUUAGAGGUAACAUUAGAGGUUCGAUUCUUUACUUGGUCCCUUAUUUAGCUACUGGUUUCAUAGUUCUGACUUCCUAAUCUUUCUCCCCCAGAAUGCCAUUGUCUGUCUUCAAUGAAUUUUGCAUACAAAAGGAAGUGUAAGCACUUAAAAGAAUUACACAAAGCAAUAGGAUACCUGUGAGGUUACAGAAAAUUUGAGCUACACUUGCCACUUACUUAUGAAUGCUUGAUUAAUAAAUGCCUUUUGUGUCCCUGAAUUUUGCCUGAAACCUGUUUUUAUUUUUAUCUGGUAGCAAGUUUGUGAGAGAGUAGCCAAACUCAGCACUUCCUACAUACUAUUAUCAUUUACAUUAUUCCCCAAAAAUGACCUGAGUCAUGCAUGCCUGAAUUGCCUUAGGCUCAUUUUGCAACAUGUACUCUGCUACCCAGGCCAAAUACAGAGGAUAUCAAAUGAGAUACUAUUCCUAUCCUUCCAGAACAGUCUACUGAUUCAGAAUUGAUUUACAAGGAGUUCCCGCCUCAGUGGUUAAUGAAUCCAACUAGCAACCAUGAGGAUGCAGGUUCUAUCCCUGGCCUUACUAAGUAGGUUAAGGAUUCGGCAUUGCCAUGAGCUAUCAUGUAGGUCACAGAUGUGACUCAGAUCCUGAGUUGCUGUGGUUUAGGUCAGCGGCUACAGCUCCAAUUUGACCCCUAGCCUGGGAACCUCCACGUGCCGUGUGUGUGGCCCUGAAAAAAAGACAAAACAACAACAAAAAUUGAUUUAUAAGAAUAUAGUCACAUCCCAUUUCUAGGAGUAAGUGUAUUACAUUUUUCAUGUAAUAAUUCCCCUUUCACUCUACUAAUUCAUUACAAGAUGCUGGUAUUAAGUUCUGGCCAAUUCUUUAUCGGAUGUCCACAAACUACAGUCUGCAGGCCAGAUCUGGGCAGCCACCUGCUUUUGUACAGCCCCAAAGCUAAAACAGUUUUGAUGUAUUAAGACAGGAAAAAUGAAAAGAAUAUUCAUGGCAUAUAAAAGUUUUCUGUAAUUCAGAUUUCAGUGUCCAUAAAUAAAGGUUUAUUGGAACACAACUUCGUUCACUAGUUGACAUAAUCAUUUAUGGCUGCGUUUAUGCUACAAUGAGCAAGCUGAGUAGCUGUGACUGAGACUGAGGCAGGAGAUAGAUGGGUCCCAGGCUGAACAAUGCAAUCUGUCCUCUAUGGACAGAUACUCUGAGAUAAAGAUUACAGCUGGAGCAUGGAGGAGGUGCAUCCUGCUUGGAUUAAAGAUAAAGAGACCACAUAUUUUUCAUUCUUGAGGUCAAGGAGACCUCCCAAAUUACACAUGCACAGAAAGGUGUCAUAGAAGGCAGGGGGUGCCUGUCAACUUCCCAGAAACCCUUGCACUAGAAUUCAUCCUGGCUAAAAGAUGCACAUGUACAGAGGGGAGAGCCCUGAGUCAGGCCAAAUAUGGACUAAAGCAAGAUGACUGGCCAGAAGAAGCCUGGAAAGACUGCUCCUGUAUGAGUGAUUUAAACCAUCCCCAAAGCACAUGGCACUUUUUCUUUUCCUCUGUCUCCCUCCCCCCAGUCCCAGGCCACCUGUGCUUUCUUUGCACCUCUCUUCUCUCAUAAUAAACACUUUGUCUCACUACUCUCAGUCUCUUUCCCCAAAGGGACAAAGACUAGGGACCUAUAUCAAGCCUGACGGCACCUGAGGUCUAGUACUUAGGGUUCGGUACUCUUAACCCGUAGUCACCCCAAAUCAAGACUAUUAGGC